rnacentral:lncRNA from 1 species
AUAUGGUCAGGUAAGUGAGACCGGUGGAAGGGAUAUGCCAUUAACUCGAUAAGAACGCAUUCAAGUCGAGUAGCUCCCAAUUAAAAACCAUUCGAUCGCAUCUGUCCAACUUACCUUAGACACCAAAUUAUCGAACCAGAAUCAAUUGGGUUAGUCUACAAUCCAGGCUCUAACCACUAAGCCAAAUUAGGUCUUAACUUGAUC